CAGGUUCAGAAUUUUGUGGGAAGGAGACCCAGCAUGGCUGUGCAGGGAACAAAGGUCAGACAGAUGGGAAGUGAAUGCUGCAGAACCAUGGUGUUUAGGCCUUGUUGUAGCCGUCUCCUGCUGCUGACUUAAUUAAGACCUGCCAGUCUGAGACCAGCUCUUCCCAGCGGUCUGCCGCAGUCUGUCACAGCCUGCUUUCAGCGUGACAGGUAAGGGCAUGGUGGCACUCAGCCGUCUCCUGCUGCUGACUUAAUUAAGGCCUGCCAGUCUGAGACCAGCUCUUCCCAGCAGUCUGCCGCAGUCUGUCACAGCCUGCUUUCAGUAGCCGUCUCCUGCUGCUGACUUAAUUAAGACCUGCCAGUCUGAGACCAGCUCUUCCCAGCGGUCUGCCGCAGUCUGUCACAGCCUGCUUUCAGCGUGACAGGUAAGGGCAUGGUGGCACUCUGUUCUGUUUGCCUUGUGCACUUGUGCACAGAAAGGAGGAUGUCAGCUGUCCCUACACCAAACUGCAC
rnacentral:lncRNA from 1 species